AUAAGGAAUCUUCACUGGGCUGCCGAACCUUUCUUCAAUUCUCUUUCCUUGUAUUUGGAUAUUUUUAGUAAGGGAAAUUUGGCCUAAUACCCUUGUUUUAAAGGCUCUAAUGAAAACUACCCAUCCGUUUCCAACCUUUUUUGUUUUACCCUUCUAUUUUCAAAUAUCCCCAUAUUACCCUUUGCAAAUGUGAAAAGGAAGAAUGAAGAUGUAAGGUUACGCUAUUUUUCCCCUAAACGGAGCACGAAGAAGAAGAGGAAGAGAAAGUGAGAGAGAAUGGCGAAGCGUUUUGGGACAAUCGGAGUUCUUCAGGAGGAGGAGCGAGUGGAGGAAGCAUCCAAGGCUCAGCAAUUAGCUCUGUCAUGCCUUUCUCGGUCUCAGAGUUGACGAGCUGGUCUACAACAAACUCCUCCUUCCUCUUCUUCUUCUGCUUCUUCUUCUUCUCACCACUCUUCCCAUUCCUCUGCCUCUCACUGACUCACUGAGACAACUAAAACAAUAACCUCAUCAGGACCGCUCAAAUAAUGGCAGAGGCUUACGUGUUAUGCCAAUGAACUUAUAUGAGUUUCAAGUUGUUGGCCAUGGCAUGUUCGUUGGAGUUAUUAACUUAGAAAAUAAGACGUGCUCAUGCAAGGAAUUUGACAUUGAUGGAUUUCCUUGUGUCCAUGCAAACGCUGCUGCAGUGCAAACUCCUGUUACUAAUUGCUUGGAAAAAAUCAUGCAGGACCGCUCAAAUAAUGGCAGAGGCUUACGUGUUAUGCCAAUGAACUUAUAUGAGUUUCAAGUUGUUGGCCAUGGCAUGUUCGUUGGAGUUGUUAACUUAGAAAAUAAGACAUGCUCAUGCAAGGAAUUUGACAUUGAUGGAUUUCCUUGUGUCCAUGCAAUUGCAGCAUGUAAGCAUCGACAUAUCUCUCCAUAUUUCCUUUGCUCGGCGCAUUACUCAGUUGACUCACUCCGUGAUGCAUAUUCGGAAACCAUAUAUCCACUUGGAGAUAAAAGUCAGUGGCAUGCUCCAGAUGAUGUCAUAAACCAGGUUGUAGUUCCACCUUAAAUUGGCAAACAGUCAGGAAGACCGAGAAAGAAGAGGAUUCAAUCUCAAGGAGAGGAGCGUCAUCAAUAUAGAUGCGGGAGGUGCAAACAGGUUGGUCACAGCAGCCGAUCAUUCUCUGCCGCCGUACCUCUUGAUAGCACUAACAACCAACAGCACCACUGAAACGAACGCCCAUCAAUCGCAUAAUGCUAUAUUCAGACAAUGAGGCCAUGUUAUGUGGUAUGCGUGUGUAUGAAAUGUAGUCAGGAAUGCAAUUAGUUGGUCAACCGCGUAACGUGUGUUUUGGAGUAAUAGACGUUGGCUUUAUGUGUUCUUUUAUUGUCAAAUUCAUCUGUCGUAUUGUUUUGAUAACAUAUCAUUCCAUCUUC